AAACGCCAACACCCUGCGGUCUUCUAGGUCGUAACCCGGAACUGUUUGGGCGGCGCCUUCAGGCGUCUCGGAAGGAAAGAAGAGGACUCUCAAGCCUCGGUAAAUGGCGAGGUAGCUGGGUUUGGGGAGAGGCGUUUAAACGUUCCGUCCACCUCAAGGGAAUCAGUCUUCCAGCUCUCUUGCUUCUGGAGGCCGCCGGUUCCGAGGCGUCGGGAGAAGGGUGCUCUCAGAGCCUGCGGGCUGGUGCUUCCCUCCUGACAGUCCCCGAGGUUGGAUAAGUACAGGUUCGAGGUGGAGGGUAGCUGAAGAAAAAGCUGAGAAUGAGAUCUUCCAGUAGACAGUAUAGAACGAAAAGAGAAGGCAGCCUGCUCUCUUCUUGAAACUCAUCUGUUGAACUCUGGGAGACUACCCCAUCCUAGUUCUGUACCUGCCUCCCUACUUCUGCAUUUCAACUGUUGCUGAUCCACAAGGAUUGGACCUUCCCCCCAACCCCUUGGAGAACUUAUCUGAUGACUCAGGGUACAGGUUGCUCUGGAGCUCCAGCCCUGGGAACCCUUCUCCAGAUUGUAGAGAGAAGGAGGCAGCACAGUGUAGUGGAAAGAUCAUGGCCCAGUGAAUCAGGCAGAUGUGCGCCUCAUCACCUGGGGGAAAAAACUCCAAUCUAAACAUCCUGGUCUUCAACUGUAAGAUGACUGCCGAGCUAUGAAGUUGUUCAGAGAAUUCAAAAGGGUGAAGGCCAGGAACUUCAUCUGGCAAACCUGGAGUUCGAGGCUGUCAGAAGAGAGGCACCACUCCCUUGUGCCUCUCAGGUGAGCCCUACCCAUCGUGCCAGGCUUCUUUUCAUCAGACAUGUUGAAGUAUCUGAUAUGUGUGCAAGGGGCAGCGUCAUUCUAGGUGCUGAGGAGAAGAAAGCACAAUACACGGAACUCUCACAUUUGUGGAGCUUUCAUUCCUGGCAGAGAAGAGGGCCCAAGCCCCCUUCAGUGAGGAAAAGCGGUGGAGUGACACACUGGGUUGAGUCCUCUGGAGACAAAACUCCAAUAGGAGAAGGGCCAUGGGAAGUGUGGUAAGGGAGUUUUGUGGGUAAAUUUACAGCUAGACCCAUCCCUGUGUUUUCUAGUACCCCCAAACCCGCUUUUUGGCAGAUGACCCAAAUAUUUCUUCCUCCUUCUCCCCAGAACCCUCAGUGUAUGACUCUCCACUGUAGUAAUCAUUUAUGAUCUUUUUCCCCUUGGAAAAUGGAAUGCAUAAAGCUGGAGGGAAGCUGAGGUCCCUUUCACCUCCUCACCUGCUUUCCUGGGCUGUCCCAUCCAUCUCUCAGAGAUGUGCAGCCCCAGGCAGUCAGACCGCAUGUGGGGGAUCGGUCUCUGAUCCUGGGGCCUCACUUUGUAAGGAUGGAGUGCCUCUGGAGGGAGCAGGAGGGCUAUGGUACCUUCAAGGGACCAGGAAACUCCCUCACAGAUGCUCAGCGACCCCAGCCUUGUUAGACCUGAGUGGACUUCCUGUGGAUGUGGACUUGCACAUGUCUUGUGUGCCGGACCAACAAAUAGAAAUACAACCAUGUGAAGAGGUACUCGGGAGAGAGACUGGACACCAACAAGAAUAUCUUAGGCCAGAUCUAACAAUGCAGGGGGACCUCUGCCUGGCCUGAGCUCUAAGUAGGUGGAAACCCAGACAGGAUGUACUGUCUCUUGGAAAGGUUGUAGAGAGGACUCAAGUGGUUUGACCUGAAAUUUAUGAUUCUGUGAUUCUAAUGGGAUGCCUGAGGGCAGGUGAUGAGAAUAAAAAAAGCUGGAACCUCGUCCUUGGACCUUCUUGGGAAUGGGCCCCAGGAUGUUCCGGUUGUUUCUGCUGGGCGUAUUCACGGUGCUCUUCAUGAAUGAGGGAGACAGAGUCCUGACAUGGAAAUGGUUUCGAUUUUGCAAUGCAUGUGAUUUCUAUGAUGGAUUCACUUGCCUCAAGCCACAAAAAUCUUGCUCGAAAUUUAAUCUUUUCUUCCCGACGGCUUGUACCACAGACCACUUUUACUUUUAUCAUCGUCGUACAGGGAGAUAUUUCUACCGUUACUCAAAACUAUCUUGUAGGCCUUGUGAAGCAGGAAUGUCCCAAUUAUUUCAUGACUUAUUGAGAGAAACACAUUGCUGCCUUAAGGACAAGUGUAAUGAUGUUGAAAAGACUUUGGAUAUUUUUAAAUCCCCUAGAUAACAAUACAAAGAAAGUAUACAUAAAGACAGAAAAUAAAAUAAGAUUUUGAAACCAUUCUCUCCCAGUAAUCUUUGCCCUUCCUCAACCAGUGGCAACAUCAUCUUACAUUUACAUUUUACUUACAUCUUACAUGUUACAUUUCCCCAAAACCCAGACCCCACAGCUCUAUUCCAGUAGAUCUAACUAUGGAAGCUCUGUCUUUCUCAUGUCAUUGCUUCCAUUAACAAGAAAGUGCAAAGGCAUAGGCCAAAAAAAGCCAUGUCUGCCUUCUGGGUGGAUCCUCUUCUCUCUGCUACCUGUAUCUCCUGGCAAUCGUUACUUGUCCUUAAGUUCGGUUGCUAAACCUGCCCAAUUCAGCGUUCUCAAGUUUCUGGCAAAGGGAGCAAAGUGCUUUUCUGAUGGUGCUUCUGAGAGAAGAUCAGGAGAAAGCAGUUUGGAUAAAAUUAGGGACAAGAAAUCACAAAAGAUUUUGGAAUAUUUGGGAGGAGAGUAGAAGUGGUAUUUGGUGGGGGCUGGUGUUAAACAAGGGCUGGAGAAAAUCCAGGUGAAAUUAGACAACACUAACUUCUGCGAGAGGAAUAGGUAGUAUACUAGAUGUGGGAGAGUUAGUCCCUGCCACCAUUUUUUUGGAAACUACCAAGCACAGCUACUCCUGACCUUGGUAGCCCUAAGUCACCAUGUUUCUAAUCAUCUUACUCUUGAGUCAAAGCCAAGUGUAUCAGGAUGGGCAGCUGGCUGAGUGUUGGCCAGUUAUCCUAUCUCCUGGCAUGUGAGGAAUACUACCCAGUCCUCAAAAAUAUUUAAGUAUUACCUUGCAUUCAGUGCACUCAUUGAUAGAAAACUGAGGGUUUUUCAUUUAUGGGCACAGCCCGGCAACAGAAAAUGUCAAGGAGUUGUAAGCGUUUCAGAUCUUCAAUGUAGUUUUCCUAACAAAAAUAAUAAGCCAUGAAAUGACAAAAAUCAAUCCCAAAUUAUUAUUCACUGACUUUAGGUUAAAAUGUUUUACCAUAUUGAUAUUCUGAUGUGUUAGAAAAUACAGACACUGUUAUUUUUUACCAUAGAUUUAUAUACACAUAUAUAUUAUUCUAGGUUUUGUAGUAUUCCUCCUGAUAUCCAGGUUAUGAGUUUCUAUCAUUUUAUUUGCCCACAUAGAAAUUUUUUUUUUUUUUUUUUUUUUGCUUUUUAGGGCCGCACCCAUGGUAUAUGGAGGUUCCCAGGCUAUGGGUCAAAUCAGAGCUCUAGCUACUGGCCUAUACCACAGCCACAGCAACUCAAGAUCCGAGCUGUGUCUGUGACCUACACCACAGCUCACGGAUCCUUAACCCACUGAGCAAGACCCGCGUACUCAUGGAUACUUGUGGAUUCAUUUCCGCUGCACCACAACAGAAACUCCAAAAAAUAUUAAUAUGUAAAUUAAUUUUAAAAUAUUUUCAAUAAGUGUAUUCUGGAAUUUCCCCAAAAUUGUGUCGUGUUAUAAUGAGUAUUAUACUUUAACCUCUUUCAAAGUAGAAAAUAUGGUGGAUUCUUCCAUUCUGGGUUGUUUAUUUAGUUUAUAUGACUAGAAUGGUUCCAAAUAUUAUAUGAUUCAUGGGGGGCUUACUGUGAAGUGUGAUUAGUGUCUAGAAUGGUCUCAAGUCAAACUAGAAACAAAGUACACACUUCAAAUUAAAGAGAUACAAUGUGAGGAAGGUUACUGGGAGCAGGAAGAAUAGGGGUACACACUAAGUGAUAGACAGAUGGAGACUGAUUGUCACACCCAGGGCUAAGCUCAAAGUGAAGAUUCAUAAAAUCCCAUGGUGCAGCCCCUAGAGUUUCAUCCUAUCCAGACUGACCCUCCAGGUCCACUCCUUCUGAGCUUGUCCUAGAUGUCUCCUGUCUUGGAGUUCCAUGAGAUUCUCAACUCCCGCAUUGCCUCAUGUUACAAUACCCUGUCACACCCUAAUUUUCUUGGUCCAAUUGUUGUGCAAUUCCAUUCUUUACAUUUUACAGAAUAAAGGACAAGUACACAAAAACCAAGUGGGAAGUAGAGGGGAAAACAAGGCAGGCCAAACCCUGAGCAAGUGCACUAGUUCUAGAUUCAGGUCCAGAAAUCUCUUUCAGGCCAAAGAUCCUUUAGUUGGAGGUGGAGUUAAGCUGACAAAAUUGAUCAAAGAAGAUAACCCAUCAUACAGAACUUUAAGGGUUAGUAAUAUUCAGAAAAAUAGGGUUCCUUUUGUAUAAAUGUGUGUAAAAUCAUAGAUUUCCAAUAAAAAUGUGUUCAUUACUGAAAUAUUAUCAGAAAAUUACAUCUCAAAGCUUCUGUUUGCAAGUUUUGUAUAAGUUGUAAUUGCAUUGGCAUCCAGCAACCUGGCUCUAAGAUCUCCAGUAGGCUCUAUGUGGAAACAUUAUGUGAUCUGGGACUCCUUAUUUGACCUCAGGUUUUAGUGGACUGGGCUCUAAAUCAACUGGUGAAUGUUUCAAAAUGUGCCCUGUGAAUAUUUAACCUGUGUGUGAGGAUUGCCUGAUUUAUGCUGGUAAAGUGCUGCCGAUGGUGACAAGUAAAACUAGAACAACAAAAAAUUAUUUGGGAGUUCCUGUUGUGGUUCAGCAGCAACAAAUCUGACUAGGAACCAUGAGGUUCAUGUUUGAUCCCUGGCCUUGCUCAGUGGGUUAGGGAUGCAGUGUUGCCGUGAUCUGUGGUGUAGGUCUCAGAGGCAGCUCGGAUCUGGCUUGCUGUGGCUGUGGUAUAGGCCAGCAGCUGUAGCUCUGAUUAGACCCCUAGCCUUGGAACGCCCAUAUGCCAUGGGUGAGACCCUUAAAAAAAAAAAAAAAUCAUUUGUACUCUUUCAAACACUCGGGUAUAUAUUUAUUUGUCAUUCUGUUGCGGAUUCAUCAGGGCAGGGAAACCUGCCUACUAGCCCUUAGGCAGAGGUAACAGCCACCAGAGAGGAUACACCCCUCUAUAUAUAAAAUAAACAAUGAAAACCUACUCGAUGGCACAGAAAACUGUAUUCAAUAUCUUGUAAUAACCUGUAAUGAGAAAGAAUCUGAAAAAGGAUAAAUAUGCAUAUAUAGAAUGAAUCAAAUUACUAUACCCCUGAAACAUGGUAAAUCAACUAUACUUUGAUUUUUAUAAAAGGGAUGAAGCUAGGAAAUGUCCCCCGCUUCUCUCCCCAUCCCCAGCAUAAGAAUCUUGGUACAGAUUGUCGGAGUCUGACAAUAGUGAGGAGGGUGUCAAUUUAGACUGAACUAUUGAUAUAAGAGCAUGAGCAAGGGUAGUUGGUGAUUGAGUAGAUGGAGGGGGUGUCCACUUCCACUGUUGGUUGUUAGAGUCCAAUCUAUGUGAGGCAGGCAAAUCAUGUGGAGGAUAGCAGUGGUAGCCUACUGAAGAGUAAUAGAAUUCGAGCAGGUGAGUGGUAACCCACAAAAGGAUUAGGAGCCUGUGAGUUAUGAGGAGGGUAUCUGUGCAUGGGAUGGAAAUGGCAGUGAUCAGAAGUGGAAUGUUGGAGCCCAAGUGGGGUAAGGCGGUGGCAAUGGGAGUUUGGUUUUGUGCAGUGGGACUGACAAAAUAAGAAAUUAUUGAAAAUAAUGUUUUUUUAAAUUGUUUUUUUUUUUUUUUUUUUUGUCUUUUUGUCUUUUUGCCAUUUCUUGGGCCGCUCCCGAGGCAUAUGGAGUUUCCCAGGCUAGGGGCCUAAUCAGAGCUGUAGCUGCCAGUCUAUGCCAGAGCCACAGCAACAUGGGAUCCAAGCCGUGUCUGCAACCUACACCACAGCUCACGGCAACGCCGGAUCGUUAACCCACUGAGCAAGGGCAGGGACCGAACCCACAACCUCAUGGUUCCUAGUCGGAUUUGUUAACCACUGCGCCACGACGGGAACUCCUGAAAAUAAUGUUUUUUUAAAAAAAAAUUAUUGUAGUUUUUCACUUUUGUAGAAGGACUUAUAAAUAUGGAAAGAGAAAAUACUAGAAUGAAUUGCAUAUGUAAGUGUGUGUUUGUAUGUGUGUGAAUACACAUACAUUCUCUGUUUUUGACCAUGGAAAGGGCCUAGGAGCAGUAAUACCCUAAUAGCAUUGUGCAUACCUAAUAUCCAGAUUUUGGUUUCUAAAUUUCUUUUCCCACUAAAUAAAAGUAGGACUCCUUGGAGAGAAAGUACAAAAGGCCUGGAACCUGGAAUAUUUGGCUGUGUCAGAUUAAGGAAAUGUUCUAAAAAUACUGGAGAAUGUUGGAAACACACAGAAUCAAGCUUGAAGGGAUGCUCACUGGCCAAAUCUGAAUAGCAAAAUGUCAUAGCAUCAAAAUAGAAUCCACCAAAUGAAAUAGGAAUUAUGUUAUAUUUAUAUAAGCAAGUAUAUAAAAGGGGAGAAGAGAAAGAUUUUCCUUAGUAGAAUGUCAGCUAAUAAACACAUAAGAAAUGUUGGAUUGAAAACUUACCAGCUGGUAACAAUCGUGGUGAGAAUUAAUAUAGUUGAGAAAUACUAAUGGAUGCUAAAACUAUGUAGUGAAAGUGGAAAAAUAAGGAUUGUUCAUACAGUCUCAAAAGAAUUUUCCUACCAAUAGUUAUUAAUUACAAAGGGAAAAUGAGUAACUUUAUAAAACAGAAAUAAUUUUAAUUACCAUCAGUUAACAUCACUAGUAAUGGGAUGAAACAAAAUCAUGUAGCGUACAUGAGGAAAAUACAUCAUCACUUCUGUGAUAAUCCUGCCAGAGCCUUGUAACGCAAAUCUAAUCAUGAAUAAUCAUUGGACCAUCCUAAUUUGAGGAACAGUAUACAAAAUACUAGCAUAUGCUUGUUAAGGCCAUGUGUCAAGGCCAUGAAAAUAAAAGACUGUGGACUUAUUCCAGAUUAGAAGAAACUAAAGAGACAUAGCAAUUAAAUGAAAUAUUAUUACCCUGGAUUGAAUUCUUUGCAAUAUAGGAUAUUAUUGGGAAAUCGAUGACACUUGAAUUGAGGUCUGUGAUUUCAUAAUAGAAUAAUGUAUCAAUGCUAAUUUCCAGAUUGUGGUGGUUGUAGAGUAGCUAUGUGGGAAAAUGUCCUUGUUUUUAGUAAAAAUGCCCCAAGGAAUUCAGGGAUAAUGAGGAUUGUGUCAUCAAAUGGUUCAGGAAAAAAAAAAAAAA